UACGUAGGGGGCAAGCGUUGUCCGGAUUUACUGGGCGUAAAGAGCGUGUAGGCGGCCACGCAGGUCCGUUGUGAAAACUGGAGGCUCAACCUCCAGCUGUCGACGGAAACCGUGUGGCUAGAGUCCGGAAGAGGAGAGUGGAAUUCCUGGUGUAGCGGUGAAAUGCGCAGAUAUCAGGAGGAACACCUAUUGCGAAGGCAGCUCGCUGGGACGUAACUGACGCUGAGACGCGAAAGCGUGGGGAGCAAACAGGAU
rnacentral:rRNA from 1 species